UAGCAUGCAGGGCAACGGGCAUUCUGCCUUUGGGUUGGACCGUGCAAGUUCCGGGAGAUUCCAGACAGUAAACCUGGCCUUCCUUCUUUCUACAGACUUUCCCAGACAGCCUGGACUGCAUGUGGGUCUGCUUGGCAGGAACAGAUGAGCCGUUCAGUGCCUACCAUGGAUGGAACAGUACAGCACAGAUGGGGACAGACUGCAAACUCUGCGACGCUUAAUAAAUGCCUGUACGUGCCAACUGUGGAGCCAGGCACUGGGAUCCACUGAAGGGCAGUGAGAUGGAUGGACCUUGCAGUCACAAAGCCCAGAGCGGGACAGGCUAUCACAGUCUGGAAGAACCUGGAGGUGGAGAAUCCAUUUGGGAGUCAUAUGUGUUGACUUCAGGCAAACCAGUUAAGGUCCCCACGUGUCUAUAUCUUGUCUGAGGCUAGGCAAGCCUCUCAAUCUGAUGGUCUCAGUGGCAUCACAGAGGGCAAAGGGACACAGCUCCUGGGUUUCAGUGGAGAGCCAGAAGAUAAGUUUAUCAUGUGGUCUGGGGACCCUAAGCCAUGCUCCGAAGCACCUGUCUCUGCUGGUAUAUGCUCUCUGCUUGGAAAGGCCCAGGUGGGAAUGAUCCCCCUUGAUGAUAGUGACACAUGCCAUGGGUGGGAGGAAGUGUGCAGUUGGUGGGGUGAGCGUGCCGGGUUGACACGUGGUGAGAGAGACACAAAUGAUGACAGCUCUUUUGACUCAGGUAUUCACUUAUCGACGGUUGCAAUUUCCCGAGGAUGGCGGUAGCAGUUUUAGCUGUUAGAAGUGAGUUAAUUAUAUUGCUGUGAGCUAGUAAAAUAAUAAGUGUUAACAUUUGCAUGUCGUUUUAAUUAAUAAAUAAAUGCCCUUGGAUGAAAAAGUGCCUGCUGGCUUACGGUAAUUAUCAACUUACUGAAGUCACCCUUUAGAAGGCAGCUCAAAAGAACCGUGGCACGAUCAGCCAUCAGUUGCAUCUGCCUGGGUGAGUCACAGCUGCAUCUGUCCUUGGAAUUCUCAGUGCUGUGCAGGUAAGGAGGGGAGGGGGGUAGCCUUCACCUCCCCUAGUGGGGUAGCAAUGUCACUAUUAUGUAAGCUGGGAUUCUAGGUAGACAGUUCUGCCUCAAACCCUAUCUAUUAACAAUCCCCUUUUGUUUCCUAGUUCAUUUUAUAAAAGAUAAACAUGGGUUAUCAUGUUAUGAAACUAUCUUGUUUAUGACUGACCAUCUAUUUCCUAUGUUGGAACAUGAGAACUUUUAGGGCCAGGAGCCAAAUCUGCCUGCCUUGCCACCCUCCCUCCCUCUUCCCUCCUCCUCUCCUUUUUUCUCCCUCCCCAUCCCU